CGCGGCCUAUCAGCUUGUUGGUGAGGUAACGGCUCACCAAGGCAUCGACGGGUAGCUGGUCUGAGAGGAUGAUCAGCCACACUGGGACUGAGACACGGCCCAGACUCCUACGGGAGGCAGCAGUAGGGAAUCUUGCGCAAUGGGCGAAAGCCUGACGCAGCAACGCCGCGUGGGGGAUGAAUGCCUUCGGGUUGUAAACCCCUUUCAGCAGGGACGAAAUUGACGGUACCUGCAGAAGAAGGUCCGGCCAACUACGUGCCAGCAGCCGCGGUAAUACGUAGGGACCAAGCGUUGUCCGGAAUUAUUGGGCGUGAAGAGCUCGUAGGCGGUUCAGUAAGUCGGGUGUGAAAACUCAAGGCUCAACCUUGAGACGCCACUCGAUACUGCUGUGACUUGAGUCCGGUAGAGGAGUGUGGAAUUCCUGGUGUAGCGGUGAAAUGCGCAGAUAUCAGGAGGAACACCAGCGGCGAAGGCGGCACUCUGGGCCGGUACUGACGCUGAGGAGCGAAAGCAUGGGGAGCAAACAGGAUUAGAUACCCUGGUAGUCCAUGCCGUAAACGUUGGGCACUAGGUAUGGGACCAUAUCAACGGGUUCCGUGCCGUAGCUAACGCAUUAAGUGCCCCGCCUGGGGAGUACGG
rnacentral:rRNA from 1 species